GAUGAACGCUGGCGGCGUGCUUAACACAUGCAAGUCGAACGGGGAUUAUUUCAUUGAAGCUUCGGCAGAUUUGGUUUAAUCCUAGUGGCGGACGGGUGAGUAACGCGUGGGUAACCUGCCUUAUACAGGGGGAUAACAGUCAGAAAUGGCUGCUAAUACCGCAUAAGCGCACAGGGCCGCAUGGCCCGGUGUGAAAAACUGAGGUGGUAUAAGAUGGACCCGCGUUGGAUUAGCCAGUUGGCAGGGUAACGGCCUACCAAAGCGACGAUCCAUAGCCGGCCUGAGAGGGUGAACGGCCACAUUGGGACUGAGACACGGCCCAGACUCCUACGGGAGGCAGCAGUGGGGAAUAUUGCACAAUGGGGGAAACCCUGAUGCAGCGACGCCGCGUGAAGGAAGAAGUAUCUCGGUAUGUAAACUUCUAUCAGCAGGGAAGAAAAUGACGGU
rnacentral:rRNA from 1 species